rnacentral:rRNA from 1 species
UACGAAGGGGGCUAGCGUUGCUCGGAAUCACUGGGCGUAAAGGGCGCGUAGGCGGCCAUUCAAGUCGGGGGUGAAAGCCCAGGGCUCAACCCUGGAAUUGCCUUCGAUACUGUUUGGCUAGAGACCGGAAGAGGUAAGUGGAACUGCGAGUGUAGAGGUGAAAUUCGUAGAUAUUAGGAAGAACACCAGUGGCGAAGGCGGCUCACUGGCCCGGUACUGACGCUGAGGCGCGAAAGCGUGGGGAGCAAACAGG